rfam:Desulfotomaculum putei DSM 12395 genome assembly, contig: EJ51DRAFT_scaffold00013.13
GUCAACUACCCACCGCCUAUAGAGGCGGGGGCUUGUAGGAGCCUGGUUGAUUAGCCCCCUUGCAAAGCAAGGAGCCGUUCAAAGGGAAUGACAUAGGCACUCCGGGAUACUCCACACGUUCCGGACACUGCGGCCGGUGGUUAAACAUCGCUGAUGGGUAGGCGAAGUGCUGCCGGCAAAAACCCCUUUGAACAAGGGCGAAGUGGACCAAC